CCCCGCCGCCGGACGGCACUCCACUUCAUGGCGUGCGGCGGUCAAAAAAAGGAGGAAAAAAACCCGCUGUGACUGGCGGUGCGGCAGUGUGGAGACCUGCCGUAAGGCGGCGCGUCCAUUGCGGCGGCCGCGAGGCUACUCCUUGCGGAGGCAGAGCAGCCGCAGUCAAAGAAAGAUGGCA
ncrna:unclassified sequences malK-I RNA